UCGAAGGUGGAAGGGGCCACCCGCGGUCCGCCCGUAUGUGCAUUUGUGUUCAGUGCCGCGCCCCGCGACGAAUACGAUGAGCGCUCGUAAUGCGCGAUCCGCGCUCUCGCGACAUUCCCAGCUGCACAAAUGGCACUCUCUGUAAAAUCGUACACAACGGCACCCGUUCUCCGUUGAAAUUGCGACUUUCUUCCCUAUUGUUGUUUUGGAACCAGCGCCCCUGGCUGACCAGUAACUGACGAAAAUACGUAGCUGGCUGACCGAACAGAUUUCGCUGUUGAUGACUCUUCCUGGUGUUAGUGCGUGGCCUGUGGAAUUGGAUGAAUAACAUACAGGAGACAAAAAAAUCUCUGUCUUAGUAGAUGUAGAACCAGUGGAAGGUUAAAAGUGCUAAGCCAGUCUUGAAUAACAGAAAAUAUAAAAUUGGUCAGAUUGAAAGCUUUCACCCAGUAUUUCCUUCAUAAUGGCAUCUGUUCACUGUAGUGAAGUUUGUACUGCACACGUACAGAGCAUUGCGUGUGAGUUUCCACGCAUCAUGUAACCCGUCGUUACUUUGUGCUCGAGUGUUCUGGGAUUACCGGCCUUGCUAUACAAUAAGUGAGUCUAAAGUUCUCGCCACAGAUUAUAACCCGAAUUCUCUCACUUUUUUUUUUCAAGUGCAGUGAUCAUCAGAUCAGACAGUGAUUGUUGUGGUCAUCAGUGCGUGUCGAAGUUUCGCGAAGUAAGGCGCCAGCGAUGUUACACAGCCAGGAGUCGGCGUGCAGCUCACGAUAAAGAAUGUCUCUGGUGCCACAGCGUACACCGCCAUCUGGCGGCGGCGCGACGGAGUCGGCGCCUACCAGCCGGGAGUGGAAGCAGAGGUUCAGCUUCCGAGCGUCCGGCAGGAGGGCAACCAUAGACGAGGUAAGCGCCAGAAAUUGCAGCAGCUUCUGUGAGCGGUCCCAAUACAAGUGAGUGAUAACACUUUACUGAAUGCUUACUUCUAUAUGAGCUUAGAGUUGAGCAUGUGUGCAAAUUUACUUUCCUUACACGACUUGUUCGGCGAAGGAGUGAUUUUCGUCCUCAUUGCUGGAAUUAGAAAGAACUGUACUGAGUACAUUACAUUGGAUUCCUAUUUUCUUGCAUAAAAACUUUUAACAUUCGCUAAUGACGGCCUCAUUCUUCCACAGACGAGAAGGGGCGAUGAG